rnacentral:lncRNA from 1 species
AGAAAACUCUGACAAGCCUUUUCCAGAGUUGUUUGUAUCAGAGGAUGUGGAAUCUGAGGAUAUAGAACCCGCAGAUACAGAAGAUGCUGGCUGUAUGAGGAAACGAUAAGCCACAGGCAGCAAGAAUUAAUGUAAAACAGAGAAUGAUCAGCAGAACACAGAAAAGUAAAAGAGAGGCGGCGUCACAGGAAACUGGAUGUGAAGACUGUAAUACAUCUCUGCAAAAUAUUCAAUACUCCUGUCUGCAAAAGGCGAGUUCUCUUCAUACUCUGUUGGUGAGACUGUAAAUUAGCACAAGGACUAUAGAGAACAAUUUGGAGGUUCCACAAACUAAAGAUAGA